GUUCACCAUUGCCUGUCUCAACUGUUUGCGAGUCAAAGGUUUCCCACACAACAUCUUCACCUGUCCUUGCGUAUCCACUAUCUGUGACCAAAGUAAAUUGUGCGAAUGAAUCUGGAUUUGAAUACAUGGUACUGAAAUGACUGGAACGAAAAACCACGACUAUUUCCCCUGGACCUACAAGCUCAAGAAUCUUUUUAAGACCAGCAUUCGUCAAAAAUUGCAUUGUAUAACGAUUUUCCAUAACUUUGUCAACACAUGUAGCUAUUUGAAGUGUUAGUUUGUAAAAAACAUAUAGCAAAUUAUAAGGCUAAAGUCUCUCAAGCAGUAAACUGAAGAAAGUAUGCACGACAGAUAAGUAAAAACUUACAAUUAUUUAAAAAAUCUUGCUGCUGUUCAGUUAGUGGCUCCUGCAUCUCUAAUAGAGAACGACGUUCGGCAAAUGUAUCUGCAACUUUUUCAUAAUAUUCAAGCUUUCGAAGGUAGCUUAAAUCUUCGUCGCUCAAACCCAUAUCAUCUGAAAGAAUCCAACCAUGAACUAAUCGAACUCCAAAUGUACAAAAGAUUUCAUGCCCAUACUCAAACUUUUCAAUAUCAUAGAGACAAGGAUUCAAUUGCUGACCGAAAUGCAUAGAUGUCAGUUUAUCCUGAAGACUUUGCUGAUUUUUGCAUAAGCCGUAUGCUUUAGCAAACUCCACCAAGUAUUCUGUCAGUUCAUCGGGUGUGAUGUAUCUUUUCUUCGGCAAUUCAAAUGGUCGAUCUACGUUUGACUUUAAUAUUAAUGCAUUGGACAAAGCAAUUAUAGGACACGGGCCAUUAACUGAAUACAAAGUAAGCAACUUAGAAUUUGCGGAAUAAAAGCUUGCAAUUAUGUUUAAAACGUUACAAGUCUUUAUAAGGAUUACCUGUUUGACAUAGAAUAAUUCGUUUCUGGUAUUCCCUUGAAAGGGGUUCUAUGAAAGGAAUAGUUCUUGUCUGGUAGGAAUUAGAAUGGUCCUCUUGCUUAUGGUUCUGAGUUUCAUUAUUAUGCUCUUGAGUAUCAGGAUCGUGUUCCUGAACAUUAUCCAUGGCUUGGUAAUUAACAGAACUUAGGUUUCUUAAAGAAUUCCUUUUUGAAAAUUUCAAAUUUAUAUUCAAGGAUUCCUAAAUGUGUCAUUUAAAUUAACCUUAUGAGUUAAUUUAGAGACGUUGAUCGUAAGUUGGGUAAGGAUAUAGCUUACACCACCAUAUCACAGUAAAACCAGUGUCAGUGCUAAUGAUAAAAGGUGUUUACUCAAAAUAAAU